rnacentral:rRNA from 1 species
AAUAGAUACCCGGGUAGUCCACGCCGUAAACGAUGGAUACUAGCUGUUGGAGGUAUCGACCCCUUCAGUAGCGAAGCUAACGCGUUAAGUAUCCCGCCUGUGGAGUACGGUCGCAAGACUAAAACAUAAAGGAAUUGACGGGGACCCGCACAAGCGGUGGAUCAUGUUCUUUAAUUCGAUGCUAAACGAAGAACCUUACCAGGGCUUGACAUCCCGAGAAUUCCUCCGAAAGGAGAGAGUGCUUUUAGAACUCGGUGACAGAUGUUGCAUGGCCGUCGUCAGCUCGUGUCGUGAGAUGUUUGGUUAAGUCCAUCAACGAGCGCAACCCUUGUGAAUAGUUGUAUUUUUCUAUUCAGACUGCCCCGGCAACGGGGAGGAAGGAGGGGAUGAUGUCAGGUCAGUAUUACUCUUACGUCCUGGGCUAGAAACGUGAUACAAUGGCAGGUACAAUGCGCAGCGAAGCCGCGAGGUGAAGCAAAUCGCACCAAAGCCUGUCCCAGUUCGGAUUGGAGGCUGAAACUCGCCUCCAUG